CCCGCCCCUAGGGAGGGAGGGCUAAGAGGAAGUGACGACGCUGAGCGCAUCAUUAAAUAGCAAUAGGAGGAACGCCGCGCUCUCUCGGCCCUAGCGCCAUCUUCCUUGAAACUCCUGCGCUAUGAGAGCGAAGUGGAGGAAGAAACGAAUGCGCAGGCUGAAGCGCAAGAGAAGAAAGAUGAGGCAGAGGUCCAAGUAAAAGGCUGUGCACGCACGGAAGCCGUGGGAGCAGAUGCAUGGAGUGCCGGAGCCCGGGACGCUGGUGCACACUGUCGACUGGGCUGCUGGCGAGAAUUCGUCUCGAUGCACCUGUAACUUCAUCGAUCGUCAAGACCACGGCCCUUCGUACCACCCAAGCAAGCAGUCCCUGCGGCCCUCCGCCCUGGACCUGUGGCAUUCUGGACUAGUUCUGUUCUCACUUAUGGCGGAGUGUAACCGUGUACAAUAAAUCAUCCCUUUUGCUGUCUCAGCUGAAGAAGCAAA